AUAUUCCCCCCUUAUUUACGAACCAAACGCCUCCUUACUAUUCCUUAAUUUUUUAUAAUUAAUAUGAAAAAAUCCUUAAAAAUAAUAAAAAUAUAUUACAAAUUAUUUUUUCGAUGUAUAACAGGUAAGAAUAAUUUGAUCAUUUAGUUCUCUUCAUCAACGUUCGUAAGUUUUCGAAAAAAAUUUUGAAAAUUUAAAAAGACAAUAUAGAUUUUUAAAAGUUAGAAAAAAGGUAAAAAUAAUGAUAUUUACAAGAGAUUUUCUGUAGUUUAACUUUUAAAUUAUCUAUAUGGUAGAGUGUAGAUUAAUU
rnacentral:lncRNA from 1 species